AAUUUAGAGUAAGAGGAAAAUCCGUCGAAUUUUAAAAUCGU
rnacentral:tRNA from 2 species